rnacentral:rRNA from 1 species
GAUGAACGCUGGCGGCGUGCCUAAUACAUGCAAGUCGAGCGAACGGACGAGAAGCUUGCUUCUCUGAUGUUAGCGGCGGACGGGUGAGUAACACGUGGAUAACCUACCUAUAAGACUGGGAUAACUUCGGGAAACCGGAGCUAAUACCGGAUGAUAUUUUGAACCGCAUGGUUCAAAAGUGAAAGACGGUCUUGCUGUCACUUAUAGAUGGAUCCGCGCUGCAUUAGCUAGUUGGUAAGGUAACGGCUUACCAAGGCAACGAUGCAUAGCCGACCUGAGAGGGUGAUCGGCCACACUGGAACUGAGACCCGGUCCAGACUCCUACGGGAGGCAGCAGUAGGGAAUCUUCCGCAAUGGGCGAAAGCCUGACGGAGCAACGCCGCGUGAGUGAUGAAGGUCCUCGGAUCGUAAAACUCUGUUAUUAGGGAAGAACAUAUGUGUAAGUAACUGUGCACAUCUUGACGGUACCUAAUCAGAAAGCCACGGCUAACUACGUG